GUGGGGAAUAUUCCGCAAUGGACGAAAGUCUGACGGAGCAACGCCGCGUGAGUGAUGAAGGUUUUCGGACUGUAAAGCUCUGUUGUUUGGGACGAAAGUGCCUGUUGCGAACAGUUACGGGUAUUGACGGUACUAAACGAGGAAGCCACGGCUAACUACGUGCCAGCAGCCGCGGUAAUACGUAGGUGGCAAGCGUUGUCCGGAAUUAUUGGGCGUAAAGAGCAUGUAGGCGGGAAUCUAAGUCUGUGGUUAAAAUGCGGGGCUCAACCCCGUAUUGCGAUGGGAACUGGGUUUCUUGAGUGCAGGAGAAUAAAGGGGAAUUCCAAGUGUAGCGGUGAAAUGCGUAGAUAUGGGGAGGAACACCAGUGGCGAAGGCGCCUUUCUGGAAUGUGUCUGACGCUGAGGAGCGUAAGCCAGGGUAGCGAACGGGAUUAGAAACCCCUGUAGUCC
rnacentral:rRNA from 1 species